GAUGAACGCUGGCGGCGUGCCUAAUACAUGCAAGUCGAGCGAAUGGAUUAAGAGCUUGCUCUUAUGAAGUUAGCGGCGGACGGGUGAGUAACACGUGGGUAACCUGCCCAUAAGACUGGGAUAACUCCGGGAAACCGGGGCUAAUACCGGAUAACAUUUUGAACCGAAUGGUUCGAAAUUGAAAGGCGGCUUCGGCUGUCACUUAUGGAUGGACCCGCGUCGCAUUAGCUAGUUGGUGAGGUAACGGCCCACCAAGGCAACGAUGCCUAGCCGACCUGAGAGGGUGAUCGGCCACACUGGGACUGAGACACGGCCCAGACUCCUACGGGAGGCAGCAGUAGGGAAUCUUCCGCAAUGGACGAAAGUCUGACGGAGCAACGCCGCGUGAGUGAUGAAGGCUUUCGGGUCGUAAAACUCUGUUGUUAGGGAAGAACAAGUGCUAGUUGAAUAAGCUGGCACCUUGACGGUACCUAACCAGAAAGCCACGGCUAACUACGUGCCAGCAGCCGCGGUAA
rnacentral:rRNA from 1 species